UCACCAGCGAGGGAUAAUAUUCUUUACAAUAUUGAGUAAUAUGACAUGGAGUCAACCUGCUAACAAGUGGCUAGUUUGUGAGCUUUCAUACUGUAAUACCUAGCAUUUUUGUUUUGUUUCAGUUACACAAACUCAUGCAUAUUCAUACAUCAUCGACUUCACAGACAUAUGGGUACGCAAAUACACACACACAUACACACACUCACACACACACACACACACACACACACACACAUAUAUUCAUAGAUAUGAAUACAGACACUAAUGCGCAUACACCGAACAGGUCUCUUGACUUCAAAUGUUACAGCUGUUAAGCUAAAUUGUUGGUACAUAAGGUUCCUAUGGGGCCUCUGCCCUGAUAGGUAAGAUGUUGAACAGGUUUCUUUCUUAGGAGGGAGGAAGGGUGCAGCCUCUCAGUUGGGGAGAGGCCAGCAAUUGGGGUAACAUGUUAGAUUACGGCAGUAAUCACAGCAGCAUUGAAGGGGGGGCAUGGGGUGCAAAUGGAAUGAAUGAAUCAAUCAAUCAAUAAAUGACACUAGCUAGCAUAACAUGGACAAGUUUUUGGCGGGGUUCCACGUAAACACAAAGCAGAAGAUGAAGCAUUGCCAAAUGUGCUUCCAAAGCAACUGCCUUCCAAGGCAAAUACUAGAAAAUAUGAGGACACAUAUCUUGUCUAUGACUUCACCUGUACAACAGUGGGUAAUGAGGAGAGACCGCAGUGUGUCUGUCUUAAAGUGCUAGCUUGUGGCAGCUUGAAGCCAAACAAGCUUAGAUGCCACUUGGAGACAAAACAUCCAGAGCACAAAGACAAGCCAGUUGAGUUUUCAAACAAAACCAUGUUAACUGCUGUGCACAACAGCCAGCCAGCAAACUAAGGGCUAUUCCUCUGUCCAACAACACCAUCGGCAGGUGCAUUUAUGACAUGUCAAAGCACAUAGAGGAGCAGCUUAAUGAUAAGGUGCGUGACAGCAGCUUUUCUCUGCAGAUGGAUGAAGCCACCGACGGUAACAAAGACUGUUUAUUGAUUACUUACAUCAGAUUCAUAGAUGGAGAUGACAUGAGUGAGGAACUGCUUUUCUGCAAACAAGUUACGGGCAGAGCCACAGCAAGAACUGUUAAAGUCAUUGACUGUUACUUGAAAGAGGACAAUCUGAAAUGGGAGGACUGUGUGGGGUUCUGCACAGACUUAGCGCAGGCUAUGGCUGGGAAAUGGGGAGGGCUGCAAGCUCUGAUCAAGCGCAUCUCCCCCAAUGCGCAGUGGACGCACUGCAUGACACACUGUGAAGCACUGGCGUCUAAACAGCUGAGUCCCGAGCUGAAUGAUGUAAUGACCAACGUCACCACCGUCAACUACAUCAAAACACAACCUGUCAAAGCCCGGAUUUUUUCAGCAUUGUGCAAGAAAAUGGGCUCCAACCACACAGCUGUUCUGUUUCACAGCGAGUCCUGUUGGCUGUCAUGUGGGAAGAUGCUGUCCAGGGUAUUUGAACUGCAAGAUGAAAUCUGCAUCUUUUUGAAGGAAGAGGGCAAUGAUCUUGCCCACAAAUUUUACUGUAACCAGUUACUCAUGAAACUUGGAUACCUCAGUGACAUGUUUCAAUUCUCAAUGAAGUGAAUUUGCAGUUGCAGGGCACAAAUACACACACCCCAAUCUGGCAGAUAAAAUCACAUCAUUCAUCAGAAAACUUGAGAUGUGGCUGCAGCGAAAGAUGGAAAUGUGGACUCAUUUGAAAGCAUUCAUUGAAGUCAACAAACUGCAGAACACAGUGAUCCCAUGCAUGAAAGCACACAUCUCCGCCCUUCAGAAACAUUUCCAGAAAUACUUCCUGAUGCAGGAACCCAAAGAAUAUGACUGGAUCAGUGCAACACGACCUGCUGACUUCAGUACAUCAGGGGAGGAACGGUUCAUUGAUGUCACCUCUGAUUCAACAAUGAGGCUGCAGCUGAUUCAACAAUGAGGCUGUAGUUUCAGUCAAAGACACUGGCUGCAUUUUGGAUUGGAGUGGAUAAGAUUACCCAAUGCUACGUAAGAGAGCCCUGGCCAUAUUUCUUCCUUUUGCCACAUCCUACCUAUGUGAGAUAGGUUUUUCUGCUGUUGCCUCAAUCAAGACAAAAUACAGAUCAAAGCUGGACUUUGAAAAUCAGAGUGGCAAUCUCAAAACUGCAACCCAGAUUUGAGAAGAUCUGCAGCAUAAAGAAGGCCCACACCAGUCGCUGAAUGUGACGUGAAGAUUAAAGUUGUCAUUUUUGCACAACAAACCUUUAGGUUUUUGUUUUUUUCUUCUCAGGGAGUUGGUCACGUUUUAAAACCCAUUUUUGCACAGAGACAGUUUUUUUGUAAAAUGCUGAAUAUGUUGACUUUGUUGAAUAUUCAUUGUUGAAUUAUUAUUUUUUUUUAAAAAAAGAAACCUGUUACACUGAACAUUAUUACACAGUUCAGAUACUUGAAAACAGUUACACUUAAAAUAAUUAUAUAGUUUAUUGCAACCUGUAGUUUAUGGCAGUUUACUUAUAUUUGUUUAAAAAAGGUUAAGGCAGGGGCGUAGUCAUCAUUUUAGAAGUGAGGGGUUACACAUUGUUCAGAGGCCUAUUGAGUGAUUUACUGUAUCAUCCCCUGUGCUGCCUAUUGCAACACGGACAAAAACAUUUGGUAAGACUAGUUUUGACUAGUUUUAUAUGAUCUCCUUGAUGUAUUUGGAACAUAUUCAGGUUAUAAACUGAACAUACAGAAAACUCAAGUACUAACGUUCAAUUAUAUCUCCUCACCGGAGCUCAAACACAGAAUACCAAAAAACAUGUGGACAGCAUAAUUUUGAAAUAGAAGUGAUACAGUAGUAGUAGAAUUUAACCUCAAAAUCUCUUUUAUGCUAUCGAUAUUUUUUCUCAGCCAAUUAUAACUGAGACAUUCUAAGGACUUUAGUUCGAAUUUCUCCUCACCUGCUGUGAAGACCCUCCAUGUCCAUCCCUGCUGCUUUCUCCUCCCCCACCCUGCUCUUUCUGUUGUAUAAAGAUGAAAAAAUAUGUGCAGAACAAUAGUGAGCACAAGUUCUGUGCAGAAAUUUUGGAAGAGUGGGUUUAUUCCUAGGAGGUAGAGUAGCCAAAAAUUGUAGUUAAGUAAGGGUAUUGUUUCUUUAGAACAAUAUUACUUAUGUAGAAGUAAAAAGUACUCAUCCAAAUAAUUGCUUAAAUCACAGUGAAAAAGUAUUUAGUGAAAAAAAUACUCAAAGACUGUGUAACUUUUGAGUAGCCUAAAGUCUGAUUUAUUCAUCAAAUAACAUUGAUGCAAUCAUUCAAUCAAAAAUAAUAAUCAGCAAUCAGCAAAUUCAUGUACUUUAAACUUUAACUACCACAAAAAUACAGCCAAUAAAACACAAACUCAAGUAAAAUUAUACAAGUAGGUCAAGCAAUCCGAUUGGUCAACUAGACGUUUAGAAUGUGCUUCAGUCAGCAUGACAACACACCUGACUAAUCACUAAAAAUAUCACUCCGCCAUCUCCACAUUGUCACCUCCUGAAAAUAUAGAACAUGUAAAUAAAUACGAAUACGAAGUCCACUGGAAGUCAACUUUAAUAAAGUAAUACAUCUGAAUUUACAAUGUCAGCUUUCUUUAAUGAAUUUUCUCUGUGUUACCUCGUUAAUACAGGUGUGUACCUCGUCUGUGUGCAGCAUGUUGGAGAUCAAACAGUUCAGUGAGCGCAGAGAAAAUAUUUAUAUUUAGACUACAGGUGGACUAAUCUGGACUGAGAGGAAUACUCCGUUAGAUAAAAACAUGAUGUUCAUUCUGAUUCCAUCGAUCUUUGUUCAACACACUUUGACUUUUGGACUUUACAACACUGUGGAGUUACUGGAAAUGUUUGGCUCAUCCUCCAUCAGUACGGUAGGUGGCAGCAGGGCACCUUUAACUUGGAUGCCAGCGGCCCGGUCGUGUCCGCCAAUUAAGGAGAAGAACAAGAAGAAGCGGAGGAGCAGCAGCCAAGAUGUUCAAGCAUAGAAAGAAUAUGGAGAACGCCGGUAAAAAAAAAUAAAAAUAAAUAAAAAUAACGGAAAGAAAUGGGUGGGACUGAGAAGACGACGG